rnacentral:rRNA from 1 species
GAUGAACGCUGGCGGCGUGCCUAAUACAUGCAAGUCGAGCGAACUGAUUAGAAGCUUGCUUCUAUGACGUUAGCGGUGGACGGGUGAGUAACACGUGGGCAACCUGCCUGUAAGACUGGGAUAACUUCGGGAAACCGAAGCUAAUACCGGAUAGGAUCUUCUCCUUCAUGGGAGAUGAUUGAAAGAUGGUUUCGGCUAUCACCUACAGAUGGGCCCGCGGUGCAUUAGCUAGUUGGUGAGGUAACGGCUCACCAAGGCAACGAUGCAUAGCCGAGCUGAGAGGGUGAUCGGCCACACUGGGACUGAGACACGGCCCAGACUCCUGCGGGAGGCAGCAGUAGGGAAUCUUCCGCAAUGGACGAAAGUCUGACGGAGCAACGCCGCGUGAGUGAUGAAGGCUUUCGGGUCGUAAAACUCUGUUGUUAGGGAAGAACAAGUACGAGAGUAACUGCUCGUACCUUGACGGUACCUAACCAGAAAGCUACGGCUAACUACGUGCCAGCAGCCGCCGUAAAAC